GCCGGCGUAGCUCAGAGGCAGAGCAGCUGUUUUGUAAACAGCCGGUCGUCGGUUCGAUUCCGACCGCCGGCUCCA
rnacentral:tRNA from 1 species